rnacentral:rRNA from 1 species
UAGAGUUUGAUCCUGGCGUCAGAUUGAACGCUGGCGGCAUGCCUUACACAUGCAAGUCGAACGGCGAGCGGGGACUUCGGUCCGCCGGCGAGUGGCGAACGGGUGAGUAAAGUAUCGGAACGUACCUUUCAGUGGGGGAUAACGUAGCGAAAGUUACGCUAAUACCGCAUAUUCUGUGAGCAGGAAAGCAGGGGAUCGCAAGACCUUGCGCUGAUUGAGCGGCCGAUAUCAGAUUAGCUAGUUGGUGGGGUAAAGGCCUACCAAGGCGACGAUCUGUAGCGGGUCUGAGAGGAUGAUCCGCCACACUGGAACUGAGACACGGUCCAGACUCCUACGGGAGGCAGCAGUGGGGAAUUUUGGACAAUGGGGGCAACCCUGAUCCAGCCAUGCCGCGUGAGUGAAGAAGGCCUUCGGGUUGUAAAGCUCUUUCGGCCGGAAAGAAAUCGCAUAGGUUAAUACCCUGUGUGGAUGACGGUACCGGAAUAAGAAGCACCGGCUAACUACGUG